rnacentral:rRNA from 1 species
CGCGGCCUAUCAGCUUGUUGGUGAGGUAACGGCCCACCAAGGCGACGACGGGUAGCCGGCCUGAGAGGGUGACCGGCCACACUGGGACUGAGACACGGCCCAGACUCCUACGGGAGGCAGCAGUGGGGAAUAUUGCACAAUGGGCGCAAGCCUAAUGCAGCAACGCCGCGUGAGGGACGACGGCCUUCGGGUUGUAAACCUCUUUUAGCAGGGAAGAAGCGAAAGUGACGGUACCUGCAGAAAAAGCACCGGCUAACUACGUGCCAGCAGCCGCGGUAAUACGUAGGGUGCAAGCGUUGUCCGGAAUUAUUGGGCGUAAAGAGCUCGUAGGCGGUUUGUCGCGUCUGCUGUGAAAAUCCGAGGCUCAACCUCGGACCUGCAGUGGGUACGGGCAAACUAGAGUGCGGUAGGGGAGAUUGGAAUUCCUGGUGUAGCGGUGGAAUGCGCAGAUAUCAGGAGGAACACCAAUGGCGAAGGCAGAUCUCUGGGCCGUAACUGACGCUGAGGAGCGAAAGCGUGGGGAGCGAACAGGAUUAGAUACCCUGGUAGUCCACGCCGUAAACGGUGGGAACUAGAUG